GCGUGGGAAUCUGCCCUCAGGAGGGGGAUAACGGCUGGAAACGGCCGCUAAUACCCCAUAUGCCGAGAGGUGAAAUGAAUUUCGCCCGAGGAUGAGCCCGCGUCUGAUUAGCUAGUUGGUGGGGUAAAGGCCUACCAAGGCAACGAUCAGUAGCUGGUCUGAGAGGAUGAUCAGCCACACUGGGACUGAGACACGGCCCAGACUCCUACGGGAGGCAGCAGUGGGGAAUUUUCCGCAAUGGGCGAAAGCCUGACGGAGCAACGCCGCGUGAGGGAUGAAGGCCUCUGGGCUGUAAACCUCUUUUCUCAAGGAAGAAGACCUGACGGUACUUGAGGAAUAAGCCACGGCUAAUUCCGUGCCAGCAGCCGCGGUAAUACGGGAGUGGCAAGCGUUAUCCGGAAUUAUUGGGCGUAAAGCGUCCGCAGGCGGCCUUGUAAGUCUGUUGUUAAAGCGUGGAGCUCAACUCCAUUUAAGCAAUGGAAACUACAAGGCUGGAGUGUGGUAGGGGCAGAGGGAAUUCCCGGUGUAGCGGUGAAAUGCGUAGAUAUCGGGAAGAACACCAGUGGCGAAGGCGCUCUGCUGGGCCAUAACUGACGCUCAUGGACGAAAGCCAGGGGAGCGAAAGGGAUUAGAUACCCCUGUAGUCCUGGCCGUAAACGAUGAACACUAGGUGUCGGGGGAAUCGACCCCCUCGGUGUCGUAGCCAACGCGUUAAGUGUUCCGCCUGGGGAGUACGCACGCAAGUGUGAAACUCAAAGGAAUUGACGGGGGCCCGCACAAGCGGUGGAGUAUGUGGUUUAAUUCGAUGCAACGCGAAGAACCUUACCAGGGUUUGACAUCCUGCGAACCCCUGAGAAAUCGGGGGGUGCCUUCGGGAGCGCAGAGACAGGUGGUGCAUGGCUGUCGUCAGCUCGUGUCGUGAGAUGUUGGGUUAAGUCCCGCAACGAGCGCAACCCACGUCUUUAGUUGCCAGCAUUCAGUUGGGCACUCUAGAGAUACCGCCGGUGAUAAACCGGAGGAAGGUGUGGAUGACGUCAAGUCAUCAUGCCCCUUACAUCCUGGGCUACACACGUACUACAAUGCUACGGACAAAGGGCAGCAAGCUCGCGAGAGUUAGCAAAUCCCAUAAACCGUGGCUCAGUUCAGAUCGUAGGCUGCAACUCGCCUACGUGAAGGAGGAAUCGCUAGUAAUCGCAGGUCAGCAUACUGCGGUGAAUACGUUCCCGGGCCUUGUACACACCGCCCGUCACACCAUGGAAGUUGGCCAUGCCCGAAGUCGUUACUCCAACCCUUGUGGAGGAGGACGCCGAAGGUGGGGCUGAUGACUGGGGUGAAGU
rnacentral:rRNA from 1 species